GCAGGGUUUAUUUUUCUAUCAAAUCCCCAAUCCAUGUUCCAGCCAAUGGAUGAAGGGUGAAUCAAGCCCCACAUAGACUCUUGGUAAAAACAAUUCUAACUUUCUAAAAAAAAAAAAAGCCAACACACUUUUUUCUUUCUUUUCAAAAAGCUCCCAGGCCUUUGGGAACAGCUGAAACAAAUUCAUAUCCUGACUAGGUCUGUUUUCUCUUAGGUAUUUGGAUGGUCCCUCUCUGCUGCCACUUCUGCACAGAUGAGGCACUGAUAAUGGCCUGCAGGUCACUCACAAUCCUAGCUCCACAUCACUCCAUGGUUUGAUAACCUAGAACCACGUUAUGAUUUCCAUUUAUAAUAAAUGGUACCAUAGGGAGGUG
rnacentral:lncRNA from 1 species